rfam:Myotis brandtii contig155853, whole genome shotgun sequence.
GAGACACCCUUAUGGGGCAGGACUUGCUUCAGUGGGGCUUUGGUACUCACUGAGGCUGUCCCUUGAGUGUGUCACU